rnacentral:misc_RNA from 1 species
AAGCCCUGCACAAAUUCAGGAACCGAGAUAAAUCCGUAAGGUUGAUCCCUCUUGCACCAAUAUUGUUCUUGGUCCUUCUUGGAAGUUACUUCUUGCAGAAAGUCAGCAACUCCUUUCCUUUCAGGGCACUUGAAACCCAUGUAUUCAAAGAAUUCAAGGACAUUUUCACGUGGACCUUGAUAGACAAUCUGACCUUCCGAGAGUAAGAUAAUGUCAUCAAAGAGUUCAAAGGUCUCCGGUGCUGGCUGCAGGAGAGAAAUGAUCAUGGUUACAUCCAUAAUAUGAACCAUUUGCCUCAUGAACCUACAUAUCUGAAAAGUGGUGGAACUGUCCAGUCCCGUUGAUAUUUCAUCCAUUAAAAGGACCUUUGCUGGACCCACCAGCAUUUCUCCUGUAAGUUCACAUAGCAACUAUUAGAAUGGUUCUCAAGCUGCCAAAAACUGUAAGAAACGCCAUUAAAAUGAUGGCAAGUCAAAAGAACAGAAGGCCAAGAAAAAAGUUUCAGAAGUGUUAGACGAGUUCUAGCAUAGAUAACCAGUAACAUUGACAUUUAGCAAGACAUUUGUCCAGAAAGAAAUAAACAGGCGAAAGGAGUGAUAACAACAACUAACUGAAAACAAUCGUUAUCAUAAUAGUUUGGCUGCUUCUGUUUCUCAGCAACUGGUUAUAUUAGACCAACAACGGUAUUGCUCGAGUAUAAUUAUUCACAUCAGAAGACUUGAGGAGGAUUUAUUUCCUAUGCUUAAUUACCCUUUUCUGAUAAAAACAUACCAGUGGUCACACGCUUCUUUUCUCCCCCAGAAAUACCUCUACGCAUCUCAUUCCCAACAAUAAUAUCCGCACAAAUAUCCAAUCCAAGUAUCUAUUGGAGAUUCAAGAGGAAUUAGUCUUUGAAGCUCAGCAUAAAAGGAUAAGAAAAAGGAGAUGGAUGCACCAACAUGAAAUGCAGAAAACAAACCUUGAGAACGUAAUCAGUAACCAAACUAGUUUUUUUGGCCUGACACUGCUGUGGCUUUCAUGAAUGCAUCAAUCUCAGGAUCUGGCUUAAUUCCUGCAUCCUUCUCUCUUCUCGAAAGUUCUACCAGCAUUUCAUAUCUUGUGCCCACACCCAAGCAGCGUCCAGAGAAAUCAAAUGUUUCUCUCACUGUCAUCUCUCCAUUGUGAAGAUCAUGUUGACUAAUAUAAGCACAAGUUCUCUGAGGAACAAACUCAUGCAAUUCGUGACCACAAUAGGUGAUUUUCCCAGUUUUCCUUAGAUCCGUAUCAAGUUUUCCAGCAAGUGCCUGCAACAAUGUUGUUUUCCCUGCACCUGGAGGACCAAGUAGCAGGGUCAUCCUCGAUGGUCUGGCAAUUCCACUGAUAUCUUGAAGAAUUUGGAUUUUUCUCUUCUUUGAUGGAGCAAGUCGAAUCAAUCGAAAAAUGUUCUCUAUUGUGUUUAGAGUAGCAUUAAGCAGAGUAGGAAGAGCUCUGCUCCCUAUAUGCACUUCUCCUUCCACUGAUAAGUGCUCAAACCGGACUUCAACCUUUGGGAUCUGAAUCCUGACCCUAUCAAUUCUGUCCCUAAGUCUCGUAAGAAACUUCUCGCUAUCAUCCUCAGCAUCCUUGAAUAUGCUCUCCAUCAACUGUUUCUUAUCCUGCAUUCUAAGAUUCCUUAUAUCCACCUCACUUUGAAUAACUUUUCCAUUAUCAAGCACCUGUCUCAGCAUCCCCUUCCUCAUCCGCUCAAAUGACGGCAACCUCUCGAUGGCGGCCCAUCGGAGCUCCUCCUCGUCCUCUUCCCGCCUCAUACUCUGGUUAAAAACGUCCGGCUGAGUCCAGCUCCGGCGGCUGCCAAAGCUCCGCCUGCUUCCUGUCGAUGAUCUGGCCAAAUCAUCCCCAGCUAUAGCCGACGCCAUUGCUGGUGCCACAGUCUAUUUCCUUCCUUUUUUUUUUGGUAAAACUAGCUCGCUAAAUCCGUCAAGUCUGAACUACUUAACAUCACUCUUCAUGUUUGGAGGCUAAACAGAAUCACUCACGAUCCGAACAAAACUCGACGAGACCUUAACAUGUCUUCUCGGCGACGGCCACCGGCGCAAGGCAAGGAAAGCACGAUGCGACUCUCCACGUUAUAUGAUAUUAAUGUGAGUCAAAAGCAAAGCGAAGUGAAACGAGAAGCAGAUAAGAGAAGGAGAAGAGAGUAAAAUAAAAUUUGUGAACGUGGAGAAGAGAGUGCGACAAGCUCUUUAAAACUUUGAAUAUGGAAAGCAAG